UUAAGCGACUAAGCGUACACGGUGGAUGCCCUGGCAGUCAGAGGCGAUGAAGGACGUGCUAAUCUGCGAUAAGCGUCGGUAAGGUGAUAUGAACCGUUAUAACCGGCGAUUUCCGAAUGGGGAAACCCAGUGUGUUUCGACACACUAUCAUUAACUGAAUCCAUAGGUUAAUGAGGCGAACCGGGGGAACUGAAACAUCUAAGUACCCCGAGGAAAAGAAAUCAACCGAGAUUCCCCCAGUAGCGGCGAGCGAACGGGGAGCAGCCCAGAGCCUGAAUCAGUGUGUGUGUUAGUGGAAGCGUCUGGAAAGGCGCGCGAUACAGGGUGACAGCCCCGUACACAAAAAUGCACAUAUUGUGAGCUCGAUGAGUAGGGCGGGACACGUGGUAUCCUGUCUGAAUAUGGGGGGACCAUCCUCCAAGGCUAAAUACUCCUGACUGACCGAUAGUGAACCAGUACCGUGAGGGAAAGGCGAAAAGAACCCCGGCGAGGGGAGUGAAAAAGAACCUGAAACCGUGUACGUACAAGCAGUGGGAGCCUCUUUUAUGGGGUGACUGCGUACCUUUUGUAUAAUGGGUCAGCGACUUAUAUUCUGUAGCAAGGUUAACCGAAUAGGGGAGCCGAAGGGAAACCGAGUCUUAACUGGGCGUUAAGUUGCAGGGUAUAGACCCGAAACCCGGUGAUCUAGCCAUGGGCAGGUUGAAGGUUGGGUAACACUAACUGGAGGACCGAACCGACUAAUGUUGAAAAAUUAGCGGAUGACUUGUGGCUGGGGGUGAAAGGCCAAUCAAACCGGGAGAUAGCUGGUUCUCCCCGAAAGCUAUUUAGGUAGCGCCUCGUGAAUUCAUCUCCGGGGGUAGAGCACUGUUUCGGCAAGGGGGUCAUCCCGACUUACCAACCCGAUGCAAACUGCGAAUACCGGAGAAUGUUAUCACGGGAGACACACGGCGGGUGCUAACGUCCGUCGUGAAGAGGGAAACAACCCAGACCGCCAGCUAAGGUCCCAAAGUCAUGGUUAAGUGGGAAACGAUGUGGGAAGGCCCAGACAGCCAGGAUGUUGGCUUAGAAGCAGCCAUCAUUUAAAGAAAGCGUAAUAGCUCACUGGUCGAGUCGGCCUGCGCGGAAGAUGUAACGGGGCUAAACCAUGCACCGAAGCUGCGGCAGCGACGCUGAUGCGUUGUUGGGUAGGGGAGCGUUCUGUAAGCCUGUGAAGGUGUGCUGUGAGGCAUGCUGGAGGUAUCAGAAGUGCGAAUGCUGACAUAAGUAACGAUAAAGCGGGUGAAAAGCCCGCUCGCCGGAAGACCAAGGGUUCCUGUCCAACGUUAAUCGGGGCAGGGUGAGUCGACCCCUAAGGCGAGGCCGAAAGGCGUAGUCGAUGGGAAACAGGUUAAUAUUCCUGUACUUGGUGUUACUGCGAAGGGGGGACGGAGAAGGCUAUGUUGGCCGGGCGACGGUUGUCCCGGUUUAAGCGUGUAGGCUGGUUUUCCAGGCAAAUCCGGAAAAUCAAGGCUGAGGCGUGAUGACGAGGCACUACGGUGCUGAAGCAACAAAUGCCCUGCUUCCAGGAAAAGCCUCUAAGCAUCAGGUAACAUCAAAUCGUACCCCAAACCGACACAGGUGGUCAGGUAGAGAAUACCAAGGCGCUUGAGAGAACUCGGGUGAAGGAACUAGGCAAAAUGGUGCCGUAACUUCGGGAGAAGGCACGCUGAUAUGUAGGUGAAGUCCCUCGCGGAUGGAGCUGAAAUCAGUCGAAGAUACCAGCUGGCUGCAACUGUUUAUUAAAAACACAGCACUGUGCAAACACGAAAGUGGACGUAUACGGUGUGACGCCUGCCCGGUGCCGGAAGGUUAAUUGAUGGGGUUAGCGCAAGCGAAGCUCUUGAUCGAAGCCCCGGUAAACGGCGGCCGUAACUAUAACGGUCCUAAGGUAGCGAAAUUCCUUGUCGGGUAAGUUCCGACCUGCACGAAUGGCGUAAUGAUGGCCAGGCUGUCUCCACCCGAGACUCAGUGAAAUUGAACUCGCUGUGAAGAUGCAGUGUACCCGCGGCAAGACGGAAAGACCCCGUGAACCUUUACUAUAGCUUGACACUGAACAUUGAGCCUUGAUGUGUAGGAUAGGUGGGAGGCUUAGAAGUGUGGACGCCAGUCUGCAUGGAGCCGACCUUGAAAUACCACCCUUUAAUGUUUGAUGUUCUAACGUGGACCCGUGAUCCGGGUUGCGGACAGUGUCUGGUGGGUAGUUUGACUGGGGCGGUCUCCUCCUAAAGAGUAACGGAGGAGCACGAAGGUUGGCUAAUCCUGGUCGGACAUCAGGAGGUUAGUGCAAUGGCAUAAGCCAGCUUGACUGCGAGCGUGACGGCGCGAGCAGGUGCGAAAGCAGGUCAUAGUGAUCCGGUGGUUCUGAAUGGAAGGGCCAUCGCUCAACGGAUAAAAGGUACUCCGGGGAUAACAGGCUGAUACCGCCCAAGAGUUCAUAUCGACGGCGGUGUUUGGCACCUCGAUGUCGGCUCAUCACAUCCUGGGGCUGAAGUAGGUCCCAAGGGUAUGGCUGUUCGCCAUUUAAAGUGGUACGCGAGCUGGGUUUAGAACGUCGUGAGACAGUUCGGUCCCUAUCUGCCGUGGGCGCUGGAGAACUGAGGGGGGCUGCUCCUAGUACGAGAGGACCGGAGUGGACGCAUCACUGGUGUUCGGGUUGUCAUGCCAAUGGCACUGCCCGGUAGCUAAAUGCGGAAGAGAUAAGUGCUGAAAGCAUCUAAGCACGAAACUUGCCCCGAGAUGAGUUCUCCCUGACCCUUUAAGGGUCCUGAAGGAACGUUGAAGACGACGACGUUGAUAGGCCGGGUGUGUAAGCGCAGCGAUGCGUUGAGCUAACCGGUACUAAUGAACCGUGAGGCUUAACCUU
rnacentral:rRNA from 1 species